ensembl:lncRNA
UCCAGUUUUUAAAACGUCUGAUUUAGAAAGAGAGGAAAAAAAAAAAAAAAAACGCCGUGAAGUGCAACCCGGUGGAGGGGAAAGGCCCGCGGGAUUGUGGGUAAAUGUUUUUUGCCGUUUGGAUACUGCCGAGCGCAGCAGAAAGGCAUUUCUGACGGAGGGAGCACACGGGAAUAUCACGUUUAUUUGCUGGUGAAUUCUUUGUGGAGGGCCGGACUUGUUCUUUGAGGAAGAAGCCGGUGAGUCACGUUGGCCGAGGUCAAAGAGUCACCUGCAGCCUCACCUGAAAGCCUUUACCUGACCCCCCCCCCGCCCCCACUCACCCCGCCUCCCCGCGUCCCGUCCGUCUCUCCUUCCGACGCCACUCAGCCGUUACGUUCUCAAGGGAAGGGCAGACUGCUGGCGCCGCUCUGUUUGGGCUGUACCUUCACACGCACACACACACACACACACACACACACACACACAGGGACACACACACACACACACCUCGGCAGGUACUCACACAGCGAAUGAAGCGCACUGUUGCGUUGCCUCCGACGUUGCGGGGGUGAAGAGUCAUCCGGGGGUCUGGUGGGAGGAGCAGGUGGAGGUUUGGGCCACCAGGAGGAGACGUUGAAGUUCGUCCCUCUGGGGAGAAGUUCAGCUUUGUCCACCUUGGUCUCCUGCAGGUGUCCAGAGGUGUUUCAUUAGAAAGUUGUGGACUCUGUGAACUAAAGGUCUUCCUAUGAGCUCCUGCAGGUCCUGUGAACUCCUACAGGUCCUGUGAACUCCUGCAGGUCCUGUGAGCUCCUGCAGGUCCUGUGAACUCCUGCAGGUCCUGUGAGCUCCUCCCGUGUGAAUCGGACACUCGUCUGGUGUCGAAGUGGUUCAGCAGAUUGAAACAGAAAGGAGAAAAGUGGUUUGCAAAGAGGAUAAAUAUUCGGCACGUCCGGCCACUGAGUGUUUUUGUGGUCCGUGAAGCUUAUUUGACUUUUGACAGUAGGUUUAAAGUACGAUAUUGAGUUGAGGCAACGCAGGAUUAUUUUUCCAGCCUAAUUUGAAGCAGCGAGUCUCUCUCUCCGUCUUCGUCUAAUCCGCCGUCAUCUCGAUCAGAGGCAGACACCCGGGUCAGGUCCAAAUUAAACAAAUAAACGCCCGCGCUUUGGAUAACAUUCCCCUCCGAUUGACCCGACCCCGUGACCCCUGAGUCACUGCGGCCGGGGUCGUGACCCCCCGCGGUGGCGUUGGCUCUCGGCGUCUGAGGGGCCUCAGCGAAACGAAAACACACAGAAGAGCGUUCGGCUACUUAAACACACUGCAAAUAAUUUGACAGGUAAAUCAGGCAAAUGAACCCGCGUGGCGGACUGCGUGGGCGCGCGUGCGGCGGCGUGAAGGCGUGAGCGUGUCUGAAAUGUUGUAUUUCAGGGUCGAGGACUCGGCGGCCCGCGACGACGCCGGCCGGGAACAGUUCACGACCCGGGCGAGAAAACAAAGCGCCGGUCGUGACCUGCCGCUGUUAAAACAACGCCAGCGGCGGAAUGUGUGAGACAUCCGCGUUCUCUCCUUCGUGUCGCCACAGAAACCAGGAACUACUUUCUGAAAGCCUCCGCCCGCCUCCACCCCACAUCCUCCCGGAUGUAUUGAUAUUUGUAGAUAUUUAUCUGUUUUCUUGAAUGAAUCUGCUUUAUGUAAACUAUGAAGUCACAGUUUUUACAAGUAUUUAAGUAGCGAUUACCUACCAACAAGAGUGGAUUUAAUGAUCUGCAGGUCCAGACUGCAGUGUUAGUGAAGAGCAUUCACUGAAAUGCUGCUAAAAGGUGAAACUUUUCUUUUGAAAGUCAAUAAAUAGGAAAUAUCGACCUGUUUCAGCGACCCAGCGAGCAUGUGAGCCCGGAGUCACUUACCUCUCCCAGAACAAAGCCCAGGUUGGACGCGAUAGGUGGCGAGCGUACGCGUACGUGCCCCCCCCUUUAUCUUGUUUACGUGACGGAUUUUUUCAAACGCUAACAUUUUCUUUAGAUGGCACAGCGGACCUCCGCUCUGAGAUAAGCAUCGAACGCAGACCUAAUUGCCUGAGAUAGAAGCUUAUUAUUCCCAUUAAAACGGGCGUUCGGGGGGCUCGCCCCCCCCCCCCCCCCCCCCCCUGACUCUAUUCUCCACACCGUCUGUUUGAUGUGGAGAUGAAGGGGCGAGAGGCCAGACAAGAACAGUUUGGUGCUGAAAAGUUGUAAAAUGUGGUAACAGUUGGGAUGUAAUGGAAGCGUUCGGGGGUCUCGUCCCCUGAUGUGCUUCGCUAAUGAUUUCGCUGCCCCGGCCGCGCCGAGCGCGCACGUGAGCGCGUGCGCGUCACAGCGUGGCCGUAUUCCGUUUUGACUUCUACGUUCACGUUAAACUAUUUCAUCCCAUUUGGCUUCUCUUAUUGACUCCGUGCUUCUCGCUCCGGUGUGACUCCAACGUGCUUUUCCUCUUCCCGCUUUCCUUUGGUGGGAUUUGAGCGUUUUCCCCCUCGCCGGUCGGCACAGCGCCGGCAUUCCUUCACUGGUUCACUGGCAAUGCUCAAGUGGCUCUCUCUUAACAACCCCCCCCCCCCCCCCUGGCGGGCUUAUCAAUCAGGGACAUAAUCACAGGCCACUUUGAAGUAAUAGUCAAUUGCUACGAGUCCACCGUUUAGCGGAACUGCUUCGACGCAAGUCGGGGCUACGAGUCGGCCACGGGAGAUGUAAAGAUAGGGAGGCCGCGCCGCUUUCAAACGCUCCGUUCGGCCGAAGGUAGCACACGCAUGUUUCUGUUUUGGCGGGGGUUGGGGGGGCUGUCUUUGUGAAGGCCUCAGACAGCAGAGGUGAGGUCGGGGAUUGAGGGUGAGUCGAGUUCACAGGAAGCCGUCACUCUGCCCCCCGCACGCCGCUCGCAGUGACUCACCGUACCUGCGACGGUGAGCCGACGCCGCCCACCAGCGCCCGCCGCCCCCCCUUCGGCGUCCCCGGUGCCCCGGCGUUGGCCCCCGUGUUGAUUGUUUACGGUGCUCCGGGUGGCGCCAGGCCCUUGAAAAAACAGAAGCUGAAAAACACUUUGUUUUGGUGUGCGGGCGGCUCCUGUGGUUUGGUAAUCGGCAUCGCUAUCAGGGGCCCUGAUCGCCUCGCAGAGACGCAGGGGAGGAGGGGAGGGAAGGUAUGUUAUUCCACACGGUACACAAAAGGGAGGGAAACGGGAGAGAAGGAGAUGUGGGCGCUUGGCAGUGUGUCUCGCUCCGUCUCUGCCGACUUCUUGUUCUGCCUGCGUCGAGUUUAGAGACAAUAAUCCCCCCAAUUCUUCCCUGGAACUUCUUAUUUUUGGUCAUAAUAUAAAUACUUUUGGAAAAGUCACUGCUGAGGCAUCAACCAAAAUAAUAAACCCUUUUGAAACCACAAUGUAAUGGUGUUUUCUGUGUUUUUUGUUGGGAAUGUUGUGUUUGGAACGCCGCGUUGGGGAACGCCGCGUUGGGAACAUUGCGUUGGGAACGUCGCGUUGGGAACGUCGCGUUGGAAACGUCGCGUUGGAAACGUCGCGUUGGGGAACGCCGCGUUGGGGAACGCCGCGUUGGGAACGUCGCGUUGGGAACGGCGCGUUGGGAACGGCGCGUUGGGAACGGCGCGUUGGGAACGGCGCGUUGGGGACGUCGCGUUGGGGAACGCCGGGUUGGGAACGUCGCGUUGGGGAACGGUGUGUUGGGAACGGUGUGUUGGGAACGUCGCGUUGGGGAACGUCGCGUUGGGGAACGUCGCGUUGGGGAACGUCGCGUUGGGGAACGUCGCGUUGGGAACGUCGCGUUGGGGAACGCCGCGUUGGGAACGUCGCGUUGGGGAACGGUGUGUUGGGAACGCCGCGUUGGGAACGUUGCGUUGGGAACGUUGCGUUGGGAACGCCGCGUUCGGAACGUCGCGUUGGGGAACGUCGCGUUGGGGAACGUUGCGUUGGGAAACGGUGUGUUGGGAACGUCGCGUUGGGGAACGUCGCGUUGGGAACGUCGCGUUGGGGAACGCCGCGUUCGGAACGUCGCGUUGGGGAACGGUGUGUUGGGAACGCCGCGUUGGGAACGUCGCGUUGGGGAACGUUGCGUUGGGAACGCGGCGUUGGGGAACGCCGCGUUGGGAACGUCGCGUUGGGGAACGGUGUGUUGGGGAAUGUCGUGGUGGGAACGUCUUGGCCCCCCCACCGGCGUACGAGCCGUAUCUCCUGCUCGCAGUAGAAUAUGAGAGGGAUUCGUCGACUUCACACACUCCAACGGAUUCGGCGUGCGCCACAAAAAAGCCCGGUGCGUUGGACUCAGGCGCCAAAGCGGCCCUUUGGCGUCGGCAUGGAGCCACCGAGGAGCCCCGCGCCGCUUUGAGACCACAAGGAACAUCCUCCUCCAUCUCACUCGCGGCUAGAUACCAUUAAAGGACGAAGUGGCCCUCCACAUCUACUGAAGACCCAAUCAUGGAAACAUCAAAAGUCUCAACGACGCCGCGGCUCGUACAAGCGCCCCCCCCACCCCCCAGUUCGCCGAUACAGACGUCACCGCGCUGCGUCGGCGGCUCCACCUGUCCUCGAACAAAGCGCGCCGGCGCGGCGAGAGUGUAAUUCGGCGGGUCUGCACCAUUAGAGCGUAAUGAGUCAUGAAGGAGGCGCAUUGUUCACCGCUAACACUCUCAGGUGUGGAACAUCAUUAUCGCCCAGUGCCAAUUGAUGAAGAGUAUUAUGGCGCCAAAUUGAUUUUCCUUACGCUGCGAAACGCGGCGACACAAGAAAGCCGGAGAAAAGACGCAAUCAUCAACAACUUUACAUUCCAAUCAGCAUAUCUGAGUAGGAUGAAUGAAAAAAAAGAAUUGCACAGAAAAAUGAAGCCGGGGCUCAAAUCGCCUCAAAUUGCUUUGCUCUUUUUUUUUUCUAUCACGAAAUGUUACCGAUUAUCAUGAAACGCGUAAAUUGAAUUUUUUUUUUUUUCAUUUAAGUAAUAAUUGAUUUGACAUUUCGGAGCACUUCAAAGGCAGUUUGGCCUGAAGGCUGCGCAGUAAAUUACAGUAUAAAGCUGAGGAUUUACCAUUAGCUGAGUGUCAAGUGUACGCUCGCACCCCCUCCCCGUCUACCUCCCCCCCCCUUUCUCCCCUUUCCCGCUUUAUCUUCUCUCCCUCAAAACCCUGAAAUUGCAGUCAAAACUUAACUUGUCCUCACCGCCCGCUCUGUGUUUGUCCAUUUGUUGCCAGGUUUGCCCGUUUAUUGUAGCACAAUAAAGGCCGUGUGUGUUUAUCAGUAAACGAAGCUCCACACAGGUCGCCCGCCUCCAUUAUAACUCUUUCCCCUCCCUUGUUUAGUUUAUAUAUAUUUUCCUGAAGGAAAUGCCCUUCUUUUCGGUCUGUGUCUCCUAAUGCGGGGUGGUGGGGGGGUGGGGGGGCGUUUGAUAUGCAAAUAGUCCGCUCAACAAAAUCCAGGUGCUAUCUGCGCCCACAGAAGCUGAUACUUUGGUGGCGGGUGACUUCCUCGCCUUCUGAGACGCGCAGACACAGAAUCAAACGCACCGUCUGAGCUCAGACCAGCAUGUCUGCACGGCUGAUACGUUCCUGCUUAUUCAGAUUCAGAUCUGGUGCGGCCAGUGGCACGCCCCCCCCCCCCCUGAUAUGAUGAAUACAACGCACACAUCAAUCAAUAACACCGUAAAAGUCUGCAGAGGCACAGCGGGAUGAGAAGGUUGAUAUGAUCGAUACACCGAUAGGCAGAUGCGGUUCAUUUAAUAUGGAGACGCUUGCAAGGUCAUCGUAGGACCCGGGAUGGAAGAAGCACGCAGAUCUUUUACAUAAAGUACUAAUAAACAGUGUGAAAAUACACUAAUGUGUGAGAACAUCUUUUCUGGAUUACCUGAAAAAACGAAACAGAUCAAUAGAGGUUGUUUCAUCACAAUUCAGCAUCAGUUAGUACAGUUAUACAGUACGGUACAGUUAUUUGUGUUUAAUGUAAUAUUACACGCAGAAUGUACACUGUUUUAGGCUUUAAAUGUGAUUCAAAAUUCAAAUUUUACCAAUUAUCACUGUAAGGAAAAUAGAGCUUUCGGCAAAAAGGAGGCAAAAUUCAGCAAAAGAAAAGAUUUAAAAAUAAAGGGGGUCUGAGAUUUGGUUCGAGUCAGCCAGGAAGCUGCAGACAGAGAGCUUUUGGAAAGAGAUCCCUCGUGGAUCGACUGAGACGAAGGAGCGAUGAACUAGAAGAAGAGUUUCUCUUAUGGGAGAUUUUACCACGCGUAUUAUUUACUGAACAAACCGAGUCCUGUAUUUCAAAUGUUACCGGCGUCAAUUCACUUCCUUUCUUCCUUUCUUGUUAUUUCUUACAAUACCUAACAUGGGAAAACUUUAAGAAAUAAAGGUGACUUUUUAAAAACGCUUUAACCUGAUAUCCAACCACCGAGAUUUAAUUUUAAAAAAUCGUCUCUUUUUAAUUCCACAAUUAUCAAAAUUCUUCUGCUAAAUUGUGAAGGUCUCACCAACACGUUUGUGACACACAUUUAUUUUUAUAAACAUUUUAUUAGACUAAUAAUAAAUGUUUGAUUAGUCCAACUCUAGCUUGCAUGCAUGCGCAAAAGCCUUUACAUGCACACAAACGUGCCUCCACACACACACACACACCUAGUAAUUGUCACCUGAAACCCGAGUUAGCUGGAGGUGACACGUAUUGUCUUUCUGCCUUGAAUUAAUGUGCCUGUAAAUACGUUUUUUCCCCCUCAUUCCUAUUUGUUAAGUUAUUCAUAGAGCGGCUGAUUGCAGGCGGCCGUCACAGCUAAAUGAGGCCCUUUGUUAUUGUUGAGUAAUUAGGACAGCCGUCAUCGUGCUCCGAGAUGACAGGGUCAGUUAAAUAGUUUCUCUCUCUCUCUCUCUGUAGUCCGGGCUGAUUGUGGGAGCUCAGGCAGGCCUGGGAGGGAUGGAGGGGAGGAGGGAGGAGAUGGG